GUUAGAAUAGUAAAGGGCCAGGUUUACACCUACUAGUGUUAGAAUAGUAAAGGGCCAGGUUUACACCUACUAGUGUUAGAAUAGUAAAGGGCCAGGUUUACACCUACUAGUGUUAGAAUAGUAAAGGGCCAGGUUUACACCUACUAGUGUUAGAAUAGUAAAGGGCCAGGUUUACACCUACUAGUGUUAGAAUAGUAAAGGGCCAGGUUUACACCUACUAGUGUUAGAAUAGUAAAGGG